rnacentral:rRNA from 1 species
GAUGAACGCUGGCGGCGUGCCUAAUACAUGCAAGUCGAGCGAACGGACGAGAAGCUUGCUUCUCUGAUGUUAGCGGCGGACGGGUGAGUAACACGUGGAUAACCUACCUAUAAGACUGGGAUAACUUCGGGAAACCGUAUCUACUACCGGAUAAUAUUUUGAACCGCAUUGUUCAAAAGUGAAAGACGGUCUUUCUGUCACUUAUAGAUGGAUCCGCGCUGCAUUAGCUAGUUGGUAAGGUAACGGCUUACCAAGGCAACGAUGCAUACCCGACCUGAGAGGGUGAUCGGCCACACUGGAACUGAGACACGGUCCAGACUCCUACGGGAGGCAGCAGUAGGGAAUCUUCCGCAAUGGCGAAAGCCUGACGGAGCACCGCCGCGUGAGUGAUGAAGGUCUUCGGAUCGUAAAACUAUGUUAUUAGGGAAGAACAUAUGUGUAAGUACCUGUGAACAUCUUGACGGUACCUAAUCAGAAAGCCACGGCUAACUACGUG